UCUUCUCUUCUUCUCUUUAUGGCCGAAUUCAACUUUCUUCUUCCUCUAUAGAUUUCCUUUUAUCAACGUUGCUAAUCUCUUGAAUUCUUUCCACAAAAUCCAUAGCUUCCUUCAUUAAACUUUAACAUUUCACCUUGGGCAAGCUAGAGGUACCAAAAAGAAGAGGAGAAAAGGAAGAAUUGGAAGCUUGGGAUCUUACCAUAAAAGUAUUGAAGAUAAAGCCCAGUGGAUCUUAGACUGGAAUUUUGGAGUCUGGAUCUGCAGAAGUGUCAAGGUUGUCACCUCCUCAGCAAUGCAUGUAGAUAGGGCCCAUAUGAGUUAUGUAGUGUAUUUUGCAUAUUACAAAUAUUCCUUAUGUUGUAAUACAAAUUAAGAAUUGUGUUUAAUAAGUAUGUGAUGUAAAUUUAUAAAUUAGCUCAUCUAUAUGUAAUUAAUUUGUAUAUCAUGUAAACUAUGAAUUUAUGUAAUUGGAUUGUAAAUUAUGUGAAUUAAUGAAAUUUCAGUUAUUUUGAUA